rnacentral:rRNA from 1 species
GACGAACGCUGGCGGCGUGCUUAACACAUGCAAGUCGAACGGAAAGGCCCUGCUUUUGUGGGGUGCUCGAGUGGCGAACGGGUGAGUAACACGUGAGUAACCUGCCCUUGACUUUGGGAUAACUUCAGGAGACUGGGGCUAAUACCGGAUAGGAGCUCCUGCUGCAUGGUGGGGGUUGGAAAGUUUCGGCGGCUGGGGAUGGACUCGCGGCUUAUCAGCUUGUUGGUGGGGUAGUGGCUUACCAAGGCUUUGACGGGUAGCCGGCCUGAGAGGGUGACCGGCCACAUUGGGACUGAGAUACGGCCCAGACUCCUACGGGAGGCAGCAGUGGGGAAUAUUGCACAAUGGGCGGAAGCCUGAUGCAGCAACGCCGCGUGCGGGAUGACGGCCUUCGGGUUGUAAACCGCUUUCGCCUGUGACGAAGCGUGAGUGACGGUAAUGGGUAAAGAAGCACCGGCUAACUACGUG